ACCUGGGUGGCUCAGUCAGUUGAGCUUCAGACUUCUGCUCAGGUCAUGAUUUCAUGGUUCGUGGGUUUGAGCCCCACUUUAGGCU
rnacentral:tRNA from 1 species